GCUCCAGUGGUGCAAUUGGUUAGCACAUGGUACUACUAAUACCAGGGUUGUGAGUUCAAGUCUCACCUGGAGCA